UUCGUUUCUGAUUUUAUUCCAUUCUUCUGACAGGAUUCAAGUCCUUUUUUUUAUGUUUUGAGUUUUGACCUCAAAGGCACAGCUUGAAGUUUGGAAGUAGAUCCAAUAAUAACUUUCAAGCAAGAAUUGAAUAUUUACUUCAAGAAAAACUUGCAGAUCUUUGUAGAUACGUAGCUGGCUAAGCUCACGACGGCGAAGGGAACAGAGAGGUGUGCUCCAAAGGUGUUGAAGUGUUUAGAUGGGGAGGAACCGUAUUCAAGGAUCCUUGCAUGGAGCAACUUCCAACCAGGUGACUGGAUCUGCAAGAUUCGGCCUGAUCCAGGGGCCGGCCGAGGUGACAGGUGUCGGUGAGUGGUCCAGGCUCAAGCUCCACCUGGGAGGGAGCACAAGCAGGGUGACCAAACCUGAACACAGGAUGUCUACACCUCUCGCUGCCUCAGAAAAGCAGCCAAGAUAAUCAAAGACCCCUCCCACCCCGGACAUUCUCUCUUCUGCCCCUUCCCAUAGGGCAGAAGAUACAAAAGCCUGAAAGCACGUACCACCAGGCUCAAGGACAGCUUCUAUCCCGCUGUUAUAAGACUAUUGAAUGGUCCACUUGUACAAUAAGAUGGACUCCUGAGCUCACAAUCCACCUUGUUAUGGCCUUGCACCUUAUUGUCUGCCUGCACUGCACUUUCUCUGUAACUGUAACACUUUAUUCUGCAUUCUGUUAUUGUUUUCCCUUGUACUACCUCAAUGCACUGUGUAAUGAAAUGUUCUGUAUGGAUGGCAUGCAAAACUAAGUUAUCCACUGUAUCUCGGUACAUGUGACAAUAAUAAACCAAUUUACCA